UGUAAAGAGGAAGACUUCUCAUUCCUCACCCAGGCUCAGCCUACCUCCUGUGGGCAAGGCUCCAGCAGAGAAGACCUCGAAUGCCACCAGGCCCUUGAACUUGAACAUUCUCUGCACCCCUCCCUGGCUCAACCCCCAUCAGAACACCACAGGGUAGCAUGGGCUUCUGAGAAAAUCUAACCUCUCCCCAAAAGUACCCAGAAUCAUUUGAGGGCACCCAAAAAAAAAAACAAGGCAAUUCUGUUUGCCUGGCCACACUUCUCUAAGGCUAAGCUCCAUCCAGAAUCCAACUGUUCAUUUGAGCAUCUCUCUCAAGAUACUCUGGGAUACAGACAGGGAUGGAUUCGGAGACCCCCAAACAUCACCCUUCUCCCCUCCUCUCUCUCCUUGUAGUCAUUUGACAAACAUUUAUUAUUUGGCUAUCUAACUUUUGCAUUGUGAAAAUGGCAUUACAACAAAAUUACAGGAAAUGUUUAAAAACAAAAAUAAAUCACCUCUAGUCCUUCCACCUUAACACAGUAAUUAAUUUCGUUUUGCAUAGUCCCUUCUGAUCCUUGUCAGCAUUUUGAUUAUGUAGUUAUACACACAUAUAAUUUUACAUUCUAACUUUUUUAUUUCACAUUUUACCAUAAGCAUUUUUUCCACAUAACAUAGUUUUCAUAAAUAUUUUAAAUGGCUACAUAAUAGUGCGUUGGGUUUAUAUACCAUAAUUUACUUAACAAUUCCCCUAUUGUUUGACCAUUUAGGUUGUUUUCCAUUUGGGGCCAUUGUAAUGUUGCAAUGAAUAUCUUCAUGCAUAUAAAUAAUUGUUAUUCUUUUGAAUGAUUUCCAUUGGAUACAGUAUUACAAGUGGGAUUACUGGGUCAAAGUGAAUGAGCAUUUUAUGACCCUUGAUAUAUAUUGCCAUAUUGCUUUCCAAAAUGAUCAUUUGAUCAUUCCUAUUUUCAACAUUAUCAGUAAUGUGUGUACCAGUUUCUGUAUAACAUUGUCAGCAGUGCAUGUUAUUUGUUUCCCUAAAUUGCUAAUCUAGGAAGUGUAAAAUAGGACCUCCCUGUUGUGUUAAUUUGCAUUUACUGGCUUUCUAACAAGGACAGACAUUUUCUGUGUUAUGAAAGACCUUUAUUGGAUACUUACUAUGUGGCAGGGUCUGUGCUGGGUGCUGCAGGGGCUGCAGAGAUAAGACAAGGUCCCAGUCCUCAAGCUUGCAGUCCAGAACAGACAGGGAUACAACUGAUCACCAGGAAGAGGAGACUGGGUACAGUAAGACUGGGUACAGAGACAUCUUACUGCACCCAGUAAAAGGGAGCUGAGACAGGGGACUCUGGGAGGAAGCUGGUGGGUGUGCUGACAUCACAGUUGUCAGAGCACCUUGCAUCUGUGUGCUACGUCCCUCUUUUCAGAGGGUUUCCCUCUUGAUCUUUUUUGACCCUGAAUAUUCCUCCAAGACAAUUGUCUUCACUGUCCCCAUUUUGCAGAUGAGGAAGCUGAGGCCCAAGUCUGUUAAAUAACUCACAUUUGGUCACAGCUUAAGGUGCAGAGCUUAAGAACGCUAGCCUGGGGUUUCUGAUCCUAAGCCCAAUGCUCUCCAGGGGACAUCAGGCCAACAGGAGAGGAGGGCAUAGAGGGCAGUGACUCUCAGCCCUGAUCAUGCAUCAGAACCACUGGGAGCUGAAAAAGAAAAGGUAGAUUCUUGCCACCCCCACCCAAGAUUUGUGCAAUCUGAAUCAUCAAGGGAGGGGCCCAGGAUCUGAAGCUCCAGACUCUCGGGGUAGUUCUGAGGCACUGCCUGGCUCGUAGCCCAGAGAUAGGGGGUGAUGGAACAGGAAGUGGACCUGCAGUGGGGCAGAGGGGAAAGCUGGGGCUUGGCCAUUGUGAACGGGAAGAAUGCAUGGGGCACCCAUUAUCUCAGCAAAUGUUACGGUGCACAGUGAUGGAGCAGAAUGAGUUUCAGGUGGCCCUGCCUUAUCAUAGGCCCCUGUCUGUGAGGGAUGGUGACUGCCAGUGGGUUCAGCUUGACGUGGUCACUGGUACUCAGGCAUAACAGCCCAGUGCUGCCUCAGAAGAGGGUGAUAAGUUGUUUACAAGAGCUACUGGGAACCCUAGUGUGGACUCAGCCUGUGGCUGGAAGGGGUAAAGUCGGGAU
rnacentral:lncRNA from 10 species